rnacentral:lncRNA from 1 species
GCCUGUUGGAUUUGGGCUUGCUGGGCCGCGCUGAUGGGCCUGAGGGGCUACUGGAACGGGCCUGGCCUGCUGCUGCGCUGCUGGGCUGUGCUGGAAUGGCCUGCUGCUUGGGCCUGGGUUGCUGGGCCUGAAUAGGCCUGCUGCUAUUUUUUUUGCUGUUCUUUUCUUUUUUCAAAAAAAAUAAUGGGCCUGCUGAUUGUGGCCUGCUGCAGUGCGGGUCGGGUCGCCGGAUCGGGUCGGGUCGGUUUGACCCGACUGUCAAUUAUUUUUUUCUUUUUUCUUUUUUUUCCUUUUCCUUUUCUCUUUUUCUUUCUUUCUUCUUCGUCUUCUUCCUUCUUCUUUCUUUCUUCUUCUCCGUUCGGCCUCCUUCACGCUGCCGCUGCACCGUCGUCGCUCCUUCCCUCUCUUCCGUUCUUUCCUCUUCCUCUUUCUUUUUGUUGCUGAAAUAUUUUUUUGAAACUUUCUUUUUCUUUUUUAUUUUUAUUUUAGUGGGUGUUCCUUUUUAGGAGUAAAACACACCUUUUAUAGUUGAUUUUUGCUUCCUUUUUGCUGGUGGUAGGUGGCUAGGGGAGUGGGAGGCCAUGCCUUAGGCCGGUGGCCUAAAAAUCAGGGAUUAGGUGCGCAAAUCGCGCUUGGCUGGCAGAAGGACCAAACUACAAAUGCAAUAAAACUUUUGGGGCCAAAACAUAAUUUUGAGAAAGUU